rnacentral:tRNA from 2 species
GCCCGCCUAGCUCAAUCGGUAGAGCGUCAGACUCUUAGGCGGGUUACUUCCCUCGGGAUAAUCUGAAGGCUGCGAGUUCGACCCUCGCGGUGGGCU